UUUAAGCUUAGGAAAACUAGUUUGUGCUGCUUGCCGAGCUCGAGGCAUAAUGUAUGAGCUCCUAUAUUACCUCUUGUAGACUUGUAGUUAGCUACAAGUCUGUCCUAACAACUAUUUAUCUCUAUAUUGUUGAAGGCGGAUGUGUUACUACGAGGAUACUCUGGUUGGAACACGAGAAUGGCUCUAAAGGCCUUGGACAAGGUCUUCCCCAAUGUUGUGUUGCAAAAUGAAUUUCUAGUUGUAUAGAUUUUGUAGCUGGCAAUAUCAUAUUAUUCGAUUUGAUAUCUAUUGCUACUAACUCAUAUCCAAACAACUCUACAAACUUCCACUCACGUUGCCUACUUCCCAUUUGUUUUGAGUUCAGGACAAACCUGUUCAGCCCGCUUUGGUUAUAAUCUGUUUUGGCAGUAAUGAUGCAACUAAACCUCACCCAAGUGGCCUCAAUGCUCAUGUGCCUCUUCCCGAAUAUAUUGAAAAUAUGAAAAAGAUGUAGCUCAUAUCAAGAAAAUUAGUGAUCGGAAUAGAGAGCUGCACAGUUUUACUACGAAGAGGUACACAUUAAUUUACAUGCUUUUAUAUUUUAAAUGCUUUGAAAUAUUUGUCAGGAUGAGCUUAUGAGGUUGCAGACUGAAAACAUUGAAAAUGAUGACGGUCCUAUGUCAGAAGACGUGGCUUUUGUCAAGGUUCUCGAUGAGGAAAAGUCGAGCCGACUUUGUGCAUGUGGAGAUGGAUUGAAGCCACUAUCCAAAAGAGAAGAGAGAAUUAAUCUUGAUUUGCAAAAGGAGAUUGAAGAGCUGAACAAAAAGAAUUAAGAGUUUGCCUCUCGGUUUGAUCAGUCUUUAAAAGCUCAAAUUAGCAAUCACCAAGUGAAUCUACAAUCUCAAGGAGAAGAUCUUUUGAGAGCUAAACUCCCUGCUAUCAUUCAAAGCCUAAAUCAAAGUAGUCAAUACCGAAUUCUAAUUCAUGUAAAGUUAGUUGACUAAGUUUAUCUUUUAUUUAUUAGAAAGACAUGAUUUUAUAUUAUUUCAUAAAUAUGCUUCUGCCUCAA